rnacentral:tRNA from 1 species
GGGAAUGUGGCUCAGUGGCAGAGUGUCUGCCUAGCAUGCAUGAAGCCCUAGGUUCGAUUCCUCAGUACCA